AUCGAACGCUGGCGGCAGGCCUAACACAUGCAAGUCGAGCGGAUGAAGGGAGCUUGCUCCUGGAUUCAGCGGCGGACGGGUGAGUAAUGCCUAGGAAUCUGCCUGGUAGUGGGGGAUAACGUCCGGAAACGGGCGCUAAUACCGCAUACGUCCUGAGGGAGAAAGUGGGGGAUCUUCGGACCUCACGCUAUCAGAUGAGCCUAGGUCGGAUUAGCUAGUUGGUGGGGUAAAGGCCUACCAAGGCGACGAUCCGUAACUGGUCUGAGAGGAUGAUCAGUCACACUGGAACUGAGACACGGUCCAGACUCCUACGGGAGGCAGCAGUGGGGAAUAUUGGACAAUGGGCGAAAGCCUGAUCCAGCCAUGCCGCGUGUGUGAAGAAGGUCUUCGGAUUGUAAAGCACUUUAAGUUGGGAGGAAGGGCAGUAAGUUAAUACCUUGCUGUUUUGACGUUACUAACAGAAUAAGCACCGGCUAACUUCGUG
rnacentral:rRNA from 1 species